AGUUAGUGGCAGACGGGUGAGUAAUGCAUAGGAAUCUACCUAGUAGUAUAGGAUAGCCACUAGAAGUGGUGGGUAAUACUGUAUAAUCCCUGCGGGGGAAAGAUUUAUCGCUACAUGAUGAGCCUAUGUUAGAUUAGCUAGUUGGUGGGGUAAUGGCCUACCAAGGCGGUGAUCUAUAGCUGGUCUGAGAGGAUGAUCAGCCACACUGGAACUGAGACACGGUCCAGACUUCUACGGGAGGCAGCAGUGGGGAAUAUUGGACAAUGGGCGCAAGCCUGAUCCAGCUAUGCCGCGUGAGUGAGGAAGGCCUUAGGGUUGUAAAACUCUUUCAGUGGGGAAGAUAAUGACGGUACCCACAGAAGAAGUCCCGGCAAACUCCGUGCCAGCAGCCGCGGUAAUACGGAGGGGGCAAGCGUUGUUCGGAAUUAUUGGGCGUAAAGGGCAUGUAGGUGGUUUGGUUAGUUAAAGGUGAAAUGCCAGGGCUUAACCCUGGAGCUGCUUUUAAUACUGC
rnacentral:rRNA from 1 species